ensembl:lncRNA
GACGUGAGAGCGAGGACUGAAAACAAAUCUUUUGCCCAAUGUUUCAUCAGCGUUUCAGUUUUCUAUAUAAUCUCAAUGGAAAAUAUGGUGAAGAUGCGUUUGCAUGUCAUUAUUCUGUGAUGGUACAGUACUCUCGCACUAUGUAAUGUUGAUUAGUUGAGAAAAUCACUAAUCUUUUCCAUUCCGCCCCAAAAUUACAUAACUGUUCUGUAAUAAUGUGAAAACAAAAGGCCUGCACAUUCCAUUAUGUAAUUAUAUUCAUCUUGAUCUUCAUCUUUAAUAUAGUUCCUUUUUCCUGAACCCUCAGAAUGACUCGAAACUUAAUAGCACUCGCAGUAACAACUUCUUUGGCAAAAAAAGAGGUUGUGUUUUUCAAAUGUCUAAACAAUUUUUAACAAGUUUUAUUUGAAUUUCUGCACCAUCAUCUGCAGGAAUUAAGGAAGAACCGGACCCCUUCCACAACGUCUGAGGACUCAAAGUUCCAGAGCACUGGUUCAUUGGACCGUGACCCCUCAGAGGUGGAGCUCUCCUCGUCUCCAUCUGCCAGAGACUUCCUGUCCCGCAUGGACUCCAAACGCAAAGGGAAGAACCUCAGUCUAUUCUCCUCCAAUUCAAGCCAGAAAGGCCAGAACAGCGAGGCGCAGAGCCAGAUCCCCAGCCGCCUGCUACAGCUGGCCAGACCCAAGGAGAAGAAGGACAAGAAGAAGAAGAAGGGAAAAGGGCAGCAGAGCAAGACUGCAGAUUCUCAGAGCGCUGUGGUUCCAGACUCUACCCCAAUUUCCACAGACACUUCAAACUCCCCAAACGCAUUGUUUUGUUGGAUAAUUUGAGUAAUGUUGAGAAAUUUCAUGCUCAUGUUCUUUAACUAGCCUUAAAUAUUCCCCAAAUCCUGCAGUGUUUUUCAGUUCCUUUUUAUCGCCAAUUCUUACUUCAGGGAAACAUAUAAUUCAAGAUGAAUUAUUACUAGCACAAUUAAAGCUAGUCGGAAGUAUUCUCGCUCAUGUUGGCUGGCAUAAGAAAUGCUCUAAAGAUAAAUCCAAAUCAUCCCGUUAAUGCAAAUCAAAAACAUACGUCUGCUUCACGCAAUGGACAUUAUGUAGACACUAUAUUUGAUUAAACAUUUUCAAAAGUUAAAUUGAAUGUUCUGCUGACACAACAUUUUUAAAUACUUAUUUCUUUUCUUUGUUAAUCCUGGUGUCAAAUUUUUUUUUCUGAAAAUUAGACCUCUUGGGAUCUAAUUCAUAGUCCGAGAGAUUUUUAUUAUCCGUCAGCAUAUUCCCACAGCUGCUGACAUUCUGCAUGCUGUUCUGUUAUGGUGCUAAACUGAGAAUUGAAAUGCCUUAACCAAUAGAGGGCGGUGUGUCCGCUCUGAUUUCCACAGACACUUCAAACUCCCCAAACGCAUUGUUUUGUUGGAUAAUUUGAGUAAUGUUGAGAAAUUUCAUGCUCACGUUCUUUAACUAGCCUUAAAUAUUCCCCAAAUCCUGCAGUGUUUUUCAGUUCCUUUUUAUCGCCAAUUCUUACUUCAGGGAAACAUAUAAUUCAAGAUGAAUUAUUACUAGCACAAUUAAAGCUAGUCGGAAGUAUUCUCGCUCAUGUUGGCUGGCAUAAGAAAUGCUCUAAAGAUAAAUCCAAAUCAUCCCGUUAAUGCAAAUCAAAAACAUACGUCUGCUUCACGCAAUGGACAUUAUGUAGACACUAUAUUUGAUUAAACAUUUUCAAAAGUUAAAUGAAUGUUCUGCUGACACAACAUUUUUAAAUACUUAUUUCUUUUCUUUGUUAAUCCUGGUGUCAAAUUUUUUUUUUCUGAAAAUUACAGUUUUUAUCCCUCACAGUCUCGUUUUCAUUCACGAAAAAUUAAACAUGGCGUCUACCAUCAUUAAGGUCCGUGGUUAGUAAGAGGUACAAUAAUUGCUUGUCACAUUUUGUGUAAAAAAAGAAAAAGAAAUGGGCAAAAUACCACAAAUACUGUAAAUGUAUGUAAU